AGAAUGAACGUUGGCGGCGUGCUUAACACAUGCAAGUCGAGCGAGAAAAGCUUUCGGGCUUAGUACAGCGGCGAACGGGUGAGUAACGCGUAGGAAUCUACCUUUUAGUGAAGAAUACUCUCGAGAAAUCGAGCUUAAUACUGCAUAAGUCCCGAAAGGGAGAAAGAUGGCCUCUUUGCUGUCGCUAAAAGAUGAGCCUGCGUACUAUUAGCUAGUUGGUGGGGUAAAGGCCUACCAAGGCGAUGAUGGUUAACCGGCCUGAGAGGGUGUACGGUCACACUGGAACUUAGAUACGGUCCAGACUCCUACGGGAGGCAGCAGUGAGGAAUAUUGCGCAAUGGGCGAAAGCCUGACGCAGCGACGCCGCGUGGAGGAUGAAGGUCUUUGGAUUGUAAACUUCUGUUAAGUGGGAAGAAAUGCAAGGUUCUAAUAAAACUUUGAGAUGACGUUACAUUAAAGAAAGCACCGGCUAACUUCGCGCCAGCAGCCGCGGU
rnacentral:rRNA from 1 species